rnacentral:rRNA from 1 species
UCGAACGGUAACAUUUCUAGCUUGCUAGAAGAUGACGAGUGGCGGACGGGUGAGUAAUACUUAGGAAUAUGCCUUUGUGUGGGGGAUAACCAUUGGAAACGAUGGCUAAUACCGCAUAACGUCUUCGGACCAAAGGGGGCCUUGGCUCCCGCGCAAAGAGUAGCCUAAGCGAGAUUAGCUUGUUGGUGAGGUAAAGGCUCACCAAGGCGACGAUCUCUAGCUGUUCUGAGAGGAAGAUCAGCCACACUGGAACUGAGACACGGUCCAGACUCCUACGGGAGGCAGCAGUGGGGAAUAUUGCACAAUGGGGGAAACCCUGAUGCAGCCAUGCCGCGUGUGUGAAGAAGGCCUUCGGGUUGUAAAGCACUUUCAGUUGUGAGGAAAGGUUAACGGUUAAUACCCGUUAGCUGUGACGUUAGCAACAGAAGAAGGACCGGCUAACUCCGUGCCAGCAGCCGCGGUAAUACGGAGGGUCCGAGCGUUAAUCGGAAUUACUGGGCGUAAAGCGCACGCAGGCGGUUUGUUAAGCUAGAUGUGAAAGCCCUGGGCUCAACCUGGGAAUUGCAUUUAGAACUGGCAGGCUAGAGUUUUGGAGAGGGGAGUGGAAUUCCAGGUGUAGCGGUGAAAUGCGUAGAUAUCUGGAGGAACAUCAGUGGCGAAGGCGACUCCCUGGUCAGUAACUGACGCUCAUGUGCGAAAGUGUGGGUAGCGAACAGGAUUAGAUACCCUGGUAGUCCACACCGUAAACGCUGUCUACUAGCUGUUUGUGGAUUUAAUCCGUGAGUAGCGAAGCUAACGCGAUAAGUAGACCGCCUGGGGAGUACGGCCGCAAGGUUAAAACU